rnacentral:rRNA from 1 species
AUUGAACGCUGGCGGCAGGCCUAACACAUGCAAGUCGAGCGAGCGGCGGACGGGUGAGUAAUGCCUAGGCAUCUGCCUGGUAGUGGUGGAUAACGUCCGGAAACGGGCGCUAAUACCGCAUACCAUCAGCUGUGCCCAGAUGGGAUUAGCUUGUUGGUGGGGUAACGGCUCACCACGGCGACGAGCCCUAGCUGGUCUGAGAGGAUGACCAGCCACACAGGAACGGAGACACGGUGCAGAGACCUACGGGGGGCAGCAGUGGGGAAGAUUGCACAAAGGGGGCAAGCGUGAUGCAACAAUGCCGCGUGUAUGAAGAAGGCGUUCGGGUUGUAAAGUACUUUCAGCGGGGAGGCGUUACCCGCAGAAGAAGAACCGUCGAACACCGUGCCAGCGGCCGCGGUAAUAC